rnacentral:rRNA from 1 species
UACGUAGGGGGCAAGCGUUAUCCGGAUUCACUGGGCGUAAAGGGAGCGCAGGCGGCACGGCAAGUCCGGUGUGAAAGCCCGGGGCCCAACCCCGGGACUGCACUGGAAACUGCCGGGCUGGAGUGUCGGAGGGGCAGGCGGAAUUCCUGGUGUAGCGGUGAAAUGCGUAGAUAUCAGGAGGAACACCGGUGGCGAAGGCGGCCUGCUGGACGAUGACUGACGCUGAGGCUCGAAAGCGUGGGGAGCAAACAGG